AGCAGCCGCGGUAAUUCCAGCUCCAAUAGCGUAUAUUAAAGUUGUUGCAGUUAAAAAGCUCGUAGUUGAAUUUCGGGAUCAAUAUAUCGGUCGUGCCAUCGGUACGUACUGGUAUCAUUGGUUUCUCCUUUCUGACGAACCAUGAUGUCAUUAAUUUGGUGUUAUGGGAAGUUAGGACUGUUACUUUGAAAAAUUAGAGUGUUUAAAGCAGGCUUUAGCUUGAAUACAUUAGCAUGGAAUAAUGAAAUAGGACGUUCGAACCUAUUUUAUUGGUUUCUAGGAUCAACGUAAUGAUUAAUAGGGAUAGUUGGGGGCAUUAGUAUUCAAUUGUCAGAGGUGAAAUUCUUGGAUUUAUUGAA
rnacentral:sRNA from 1 species